GAUAAAGUCUUGUUAUGUAGACCAGGUUGCUCUUGAACUCAUGGCAAGUCUCCUGCUUCAGUCUCUUGAGUGCUGGAAACAGGUGUGCAACACCAUACUCACCUAAGUUAUUUUUAUGGUAGUGAAUAUAAUGAGCAUCUUCUUUUUUUUUUGUAUUUUUCCUCAUAUUUCAAACUCUUUGUGAUAGAUUUCCAGACUCAAAGUUCCUGAAUCAAAAGAUCUUUAUGGUCCUUGAGAACACCUGUUAAACUGUUUUGCAAAACACAUCUUGCAAUUAGAUUAAGCAGAAAAUUGUUAGAUAUAAUUGUGGAAGUAUUAUAAUUCAAAUAAAUGUAUAUUAAAAUUAACAAAUGUUACUAUUUUAAUUAACAAGAUCUGUUAUUAAAAUGACAUAGCUUAUUCUUUCUUUCUUAAUCCUGAUUGGAGUGUGUGUCUCUCUGUCUUUUUUGAUGUAGUAUAUGCAUGUCUAUGUAUUUGUGUGGUAUAUGCACAUCUAUGUAUUUGUGUGGUAUAUGCACGUCUAUGUAUUUGUGUGGUAUAUGCACGUCUAUGUAUUUGUGUGGUAUAUGCACGUCUAUGUAUUUGUGUGGUAUAUGCACAUCUAUGUAUUUGUGUGGUAUAUGCAUGUCUAUGUAUUUGUGUGGUAUAUACAUGUCUACGUAUUUGUGUGUAGAGGCCAAAUGUCAACAUGGGUGUCUUCCUCAGUCGCUUUCCAUUUUAGUUUUUAGGGCAGGGUCUCUCACUGAACCCGGGGUCUCACUAAGCUCACUGACUGGCUGGGCAGGCUGGCCAGCCAGCUCUGGGGAUCCUCCUUCUCUGAGCCCCCCAGUGCUGGGGUUACAGAGAUGUGGUGUUUCACCUGGCUUUUACAUGAGUUCUGGGGACCCGAACUCAGGUCCUCACGUUUGUGCAGAAAGCACUUUGCCCGCUGACCAGUCUUGCCAGCCCCUCCCCCUCCUUUUUAGAAUAAUACCCCAGUGAGCAUGCAGCAUCAUUCUGGAAUACACAGCUCUUUUCUCUGAAACUGUUGGAAGGUCACUGAGACAGAACGGUGUAACAAAGUUGGGAGGGCUCGAACCAGGCCAGGGUGGUCAGGAAGAGAUGGGAACAAAUCCAAGAGAUCUUAGACAAUGUAGUAUAACCAUUAUUGGCUGGAUGCAGGACAAAGAAGAGAGAGCCAGGAGCCCUGACUGAGGGCUGCCAAGACAAAAAAAAGUAACACAAAUUGGCAAGAGUGUGGAGAAACUGGAACCGAGGGCAUUUCUUCCAGGAACGUAAAGUCAUGUGGCGGCUGUGGGAAAGUAUGACAGUGGUUCAGAGAAUUAAACAGUUAUCUUAUAGUCCAAUCAUUUCACCUUUGGGCUAUACCCAAGAUAGUGUGAAAGUAAGAACAUAGGUGUGUUCAUUACAGUAUUAUUUACGGAAACAACCCAAAUGCCCAUCAAUACACAAAGAAUGAACAAAUACACAAAGAAUUCUGGCUCACUGAAUUAUGACUGAACCUUGAAGAAAAUAUGGUGAAUGAAAAAAGUAGUCACAAGACGACUAAUACUGCUUAAAAUUUCUCUACGUGAGAUACCUUGGUAGUCAUAUUUGCACACAGAAGGUACAAUGGGAUUGCCACAGACCGAGGAGGGAGGAGACAUUAUCUAUGAACGGGCAGGAUUUCAACUGUGGACGGUGAGCAAGUUCUGGAGGUGGAGGGUAGUGGCGUUUGCACGACAAUGUGCCAGUACUUGAUGCCAGUACUUGAUGCCACUGAGUUGUACCCUUAAAAUGGUUACAAGAGCUCGCAGUGUAAGCAUGAGGGCCUGCAUCACAGUUGCCAGCACUCCCGUGAAAAGCUCAGCUUAGUGUGUCAUGUGCUUGUAAUCUCAGUGCUGGGGAGGCAGAGACAGGAGGAUGCCUGGGACUCAUUGUCCAGGAAGUCUUGCUGAAUCAGUGAUUUUCAAGUUCAGUGAGAGACCCUGUCCCAAAAAGUAAUAUGGAGACAGGUAGAGAAAGACACCAGACAUUGGCCUCUGGUCUACAACACACACACACACACACACACACACACACACACACACACACACACACACACACACACGCUAUUUAAAAAAUUAAGAUGCAUUCCUGCACCAGGCAGUGGUGGUGCACACCAUUAAUCUCAGCACUCGGAGGCAGAGGCAGGUGGAUCUCUGAGUUCGAGGCCAGCCUGGUCUACAGAGUGAGUUUCAGGACAACCAGUGCUAGCUACAUAGAGAAAUCUUGUCUCUAAACACCCUCCCCCCCGCAAAAAAAAUAGAUGCAUUCCUGCAAUCCUAGCACUCACAAAGCUGAGGUUCUGGACUAUAUAGCAAGACCAUGUCUCAAAAAAAAUUAGUCAAUUUUAUGUUGUAAGUGUAUACAUACACACACACACACACACAUGCACGACUGCUACAGCCUCUGCUGAUGUGAGCACACAUCACUGACUGUAGAUGACCAACCAGACUUAAUGACUUUAUAAGAGUCAAGUUCCGAAGUGUUACCUGUAGGGUAAGUAGCACAAAGAUCACAGUGCUCAGCAAUAGUGCUUAGGAGGCAAAUUAACGCUGCAGGAGACGUAGUGUUGUACAAGUCAUAAUUUAAACAUUACUGUUGUCAGUGACAAAAUCAGCUCACAUAGACUACCAAAAAAAUGUCUACAAAUAAAAAGGAUGGAAGUUUAAAUCAGGUGCCACAUGUGAUUCUUGGAUUUAAGUCACCAGUGCCUUUUGAAAAUAAAGACUCUGAACUUGAGCUAAUGCACUUGACGGCUAAUGGUGACUGGAAAGAGGUACAAGGGUGGUAGUUAUGUCAUAGCAGGGCUUUGUAACCAGCACCCUGGAGUUGUGCAGUCCAUGACCAGCACAGUUGCACCGAGCAGUCAGGGAUCUAAGAAACAUGAGAAUAUCUCCCAGAAUCCUCAGAAAGAAACGAGAGACGGAUGGACUUCUGUGUUCACCCAGGACAUAGACUGAAAUGAUCGUAUCAUUUGAAUAAAGCUCAAAGGUGAGUGUGGUUCCAUGUGAGAGUCUCUGGUGAUGUGUGCCCCGGUGGGCAUUUAUUGGGUAUGAAGACCACCCUCCCCUCCAGCAGGUGAAAGUUGAAGGACAGAUUCUCCUCCCACGUCCCAGGAACUCGCCCACUUUCCCGAACCGAUGUGAAUUUUGUGAGGGAUGUGAGGGCUGCAAUCAGGUUCGGAGAUGCUGAGAGGGGCCCAGUCCCUCCCUGACCCAGUGGCUCAGGUCAUCCUGAUACCAUUGUCUUCACUCCUGUUCCAGGGUUGUGGAUGGAGUACUUGGAGUUAACGGAUCUGGGCUUGCUCCCGCCUCGCAGCCUGCUCAUCUGUGCAGGGAGACCCCAGGCACGCCAUUAAGUCUUACCUCUGAUACCUUUGCAGCUUUCAUACCCGGGGGGUGGAGAUGUGGGAGGCUCUGCCUCUGCCUUCCCCUCCCCCCACAAAGCUUCAGCUGCAUGUGUCACCCAGUAUCCCAGCAGCCAUUUGCUUCCACCCCAGAACCAGUUCUCCAAAUCUGCACUUGGGGCUGGGAGGGGGAAGCUGCUUUACAAAGAAGCACACAUCAACCACCGCCCCCAUCCAACUGGCACGAGGCUCCUAGAUGGCUGCAGGAAGGGAUAGAGGAAGGAAAGAAUUGAGGGUUCAGGGCCUAGCAGGACAAAAUUUCGAGGAGGAGGUUGUCUGUCCAGCUGUUCCUGUCCACCCGGGGCCACCUGCCUACUUGCUCCGCCGAUUCUGUGCCUUCCUCAUGACUCCUUUUUGAUUAUUCUGCUGGAAAAGAAGCCUGGAUUUGUCUCUUCUGCGGCUGACCGGGACCUGUGAAGCUGGCAGAUGUGAAGGCAGAUGCACAGGCCACUCACUGUCUGCCUCCUCUCGCCUUUAUGGAGCAUUUGCUUUGUCUUUGAUGGACACUGAACCCAUCUCCUUAGGGAUUCUAGGCCAGAGUUCCACUGCUGGGCCGCACCCACAGCCUGAACGGUCUCCUACCCCUCCACCAAUGCCAUCGCUAAGUGUGGUGUGGCCGUGGGCCUUUCCCAUACAGGCGUUAUUAUGCUGAGACAGUUUCCUUCCAUUCCCAGUUUGUCGAGAGUUUUUAGGAUGGAAAGGUGCUGGAUUAACAACAAUGGUUUUUUGGCAUCUG